rnacentral:rRNA from 1 species
UACGUAGGGUGCAAGCGUUAAUCGGAAUUACUGGGCGUAAAGCGUGCGCAGGCGGUUUUGUAAGGCUGUCGUGGAAUCCCCGGGCUCAACCUGGGAAUGGCGAUGGUGACUGCAAGGCUAGAGUUUGGCAGAGGGGGGUAGAAUUCCACGUGUAGCAGUGAAAUGCGUAGAUAUGUGGAGGAACACCGAUGGCGAAGGCAGCCCCCUGGGUCAAAACUGACGCUCAUGCACGAAAGCGUGGGGAGCAAACAGG